GGGCGGGGAGGCGAGCGUGUUCCCGGGGUGGUCACCUGCCUGCCUGACAAUGGGGGCCGCAUUAGCGCCCUCUCCUUAGGAGCGCUCGCAGGGCCUUUUGAUGUCGCCUUUGUUUGUUCUGAGUGUUUCCGCAAUCAAAGGCAGCUGGGACGCCGGCAUUCGAACCCGUCCGCUCCCUGCGAAAUGCGCAAGAAGCGUGCGUGACGGGUGCGUGGGAAAAGGCGUCGCAAUGCUUAGGAUGUGCUCUGCUCUGUCACGCGGAACCGAGGACGCGGGGGCGGCCGGACCCGGGUGCAGGAUCGGUCGCCAGGAACCAAAGGAUCGGGGCACUUUAGAAGAAUUGUCCCGCCGUCACUGCUGACCCCCCACCCGGACAACGUCUCGCAUGAAUCCCCCACAGAGGCAUAAGUGACAAUUAUGAAUUACGCAGUUCAAGACGUGGAACGCCAUGCUCGCAAUAUUGUUGUCCCACCUGUCAAUUCUGCCGAAAUUUGCGCACACGAAAUAUGGACAAUCUGUCUCCGGAGCUUCUGAAAAAAUCCAUUCAGACGCAAAGAUGACAACGAAGAGAGCUUCACGAUCUUUAAAAAUGUCUGCAGAACAAAUUUUGUGCUAUGUUGUGAAUUAUACCAGCGUUCUUGUUAUUUUUUUUUAACAGAUUUAAUGUUGGCAAAUGUUAUUUUGGAUCAAGUUUUGAAUAAAAUAAAUAUUUUGCCAGAUGGCA
rnacentral:lncRNA from 1 species